ACGGAAGGCAGCAGUGAGGAAUAUUGGUCAAUGGGCGGAAGCUUGAACCAGCCAAGUCGCGUGAAGGAAUAAGGCCCUACGGGUCGUAAACUUCUUUUGAGCGGGAGCAAUAAGGCGCACGUGUGCGACGAUGAGAGUACCGUUCGAAUAAGCAUCGGCUACCUCCGUGCCAGCAGCCGCGGUAAUACGGAGGAUGCGAGCGUUAUCCGGAUUCAUUGGGUUUAAAGGGUGCGUAGGCGGUUUGCCAAGUCAGCGGUGAAAUGCCGGUGCUCAACACCGGAGCUGCCGUUGAUACUGGCGGGCUUGAAUCCUGUUGCCGUGGGAGGAAUGAGUGGUGUAGCGGUGAAAUGCAUAGAUAUCACUCAGAACACCGAUUGCGAAGGCAUCUCGCGAAGCAGGUAUUGACGCUGAGGCACGAAAGCGUGGGGAUCGAACAGGAUUAGAUACCCUGGUA
rnacentral:rRNA from 1 species